rnacentral:rRNA from 1 species
UACGAAGGGAGCUAGCGUUGUUCGGAAUCACUGGGCGUAAAGCGCACGUAGGCGGGUUUGUCAGUCAGGGGUGAAAUCCCGGAGCUCAACUCCGGAACUGCCCUUGAUACAGCAAGCCUUGAGUCCGGAAGAGGUAGGUGGAAUUCCUAGUGUAGAGGUGAAAUUCGUAGAUAUUAGGAAGAACGCCAGUGGCGAAGGCGGCCUACUGGUCCGGCACUGACGCUGAGGUGCGAAAGCGUGGGGAGCAAACAGG